rnacentral:tRNA from 3 species
GCCCUCGUAGGCUAGUUAGGAUAGACUCGUGGACUGCGGAUCCAUGGACUCGGGUUCGAAUCCCGACGGGGGCG